GAACAAUGUUUCAUAUGAAGCAAAUGUCUUUCAGUUCCUGGUGGCAUUUCUGACAGCUUCUGGAAGAGGAGUUCUGCUUGGCAGAUUCCUGGAGUGUCUUCUACAUGCUUCAACCUGUUCUCUCCCAGGACCUCCCAUUACCCCUUCUUUCCUCCUAUCAAGGAAGAUGUCUCAAAGGAUCCCACAAGGUGGAAAGCAGAAGCAGUCUGAAAAGUGUGGCAGGGAUGUGCCUGCGAAUAUCUACUAGUCUGAGACUUGUCACCUCUCCAGGAGGGAGAAGGAAAGAGAAUGAGGCAUGUUUGAGUGUGGUGCACUUCAGGUCUGGGUUCACAUUGAGCCACCUGAGAGGAGCUGGGAAAGUGCUGUUUCUCAUCAUUUCCACCCAGCAAGAGAAUUGGAGAGAAAGAGCUACACCCAAGCCAAUUAUGGCAGGGUCCUUGGGGGCUGUUAUGUAAUCUUCCAGAGACAGUGGAAUGGAGUGGGCCUUGAGUUCCAGUGGGCACACUGGCUGAAGUCUUUUCUGUACUCCAGGUCUUGGGCCAUCUGUGGUGGAGCAAGCUCCCUCAAUGCUGGAGAAAGUCCUUUGGCAGAGAAGAAGCUUACAGCAUGCUGGGACCUGCCUGCUGCACCUGUGGGGGGAUUUAGGUUUGUCUAGAUGGAGUGAAGAUACCAAAAUGGAGUAGGAGACAGAUCAGAAACCUCAAGAGGGGACGCUCAAGGCAUAUAGGAGUGAAUUAUGGUGAGAACUUGCCUAGUUUCCAAGAGGUGGAUAGGAAUGGGAGAAGGCAUGCUAAUGUUGCACAGAGAGGGCUACAUGGGGACCCCAGUUAGUUUCCCUACACAUUGAUCUGUUCAGUUGAAAGCUCUUGUCAUGCCCUCAAAUAGCUCUUCCCAUGGAAUCAUUAUGAACCCAAAGAUGGCUUUGGCCUCUUGCCCACCCUCCCAGCAAUGAACACACACAGCCUGUUGGUCAGUGUUGUGAGAGAGACUCUCAUACUUGAGACCUGGACUCAGUGUGUGGGUUGUGCUUCUCCAGGCACUGCCUGUGACCAGAUAGCACCAGACCUAGACAUUGGGCAUCUGCUCCUGCUGGGUCUGCAGAUGAAGAUAGGUCAGUAGAAGGUAAGAUGUACCCUGCUCUGAAUCAGAGUACAAUGACAGGCAGAUAAGCACAUGUAAAAUGAAACCACCAAACCCACUCCUACUUCUGAUCACUGAGCAGCCACCUCAGAAAUGUAAUAGGAAAAUUAUUUGGAAGCUAGUUCUCUGGAUCAAGACAGAUUUGUAUGAGGAGAAUGGAGUUAGGGUGUCAUCUCCUGGUUCUGUGGUCUCCCUGUAUUUCCUUGGCCAACAACACUUUUCGCCUUUGCUUCUUCAUUUCCUAUUUCUUUUGGUUUGCCUUUCAUCCCCCAAUGCUUGAUCUCCAAUUGGGGUUCUCUGAGUUUCAGUUUUGCAUCCCAGUAAGAAAUGGGAUUCUCCCUCCAGAGGAGGACCUAAGUUUUUCUUUGUAAUUUACUAUAUCUUUAUAAAGUUCAGAGAACAUCCUCAGAUCCUAGUUCCUCAGAAGUUAUAUGUUUAUAACUUCUGAGUUUCACUUUCUCUCAGCAGGUUUUCUUAUGGAGCAGGUUUGUUAGAAUAGAAUGAGCUGCUGAUAG
ensembl:lncRNA